CAUGCACCGGUGGGGGUCCCUCGGCCUGGCCUGUGACCUCUCGCAAUCUGGGACCCCUCAGGGGAUGUCAGAGAGCGAGUUUCAACCCGAUCCCACAGGCCAGGCCGAGGGACCCCACUGGUGCAUG
rnacentral:pre_miRNA from 1 species